UUAAAGACCUUAAUCAUGCCAUAAUAAGAUUUAAGUUAUUGACUUUGCUCAAUUAAUUUAUGAGAGAAGUAUCUAGAAUUACCAAUUCAUUCUGCAUUCUUCAGUCAAAUACCUACUAGAUUUCUUAUGUACGAACUUUUGGCUAAAGAAGGUCCUCUCUCUUGUUUGCAUGUGAAUGUUUAUUGUAUCUUACAUGGAGAUAUCCUUCAAGUUGAGAUCUCUCAUUUUCUUGCUCAAGGAUCCUGCAUUAUUAACAAACUCCUUUUCUUUCUUGAAGGAAAGUCAUUAGUUUCUUCAAGAUACAAAAUAUUCAUCCAACAUAUUUUUUUAACUAGAUGACUCGAUAUAAGAUAUGACAAUAGUUGCAUGUUGAGUCACUUUACUCAAGAGAUUGCCUAAAUAUAAGCAAGCACAUAUCACUUGAACUAAAGAGAUAGUUUCAUUAACCAAGAUGGUUCAAGGACAAGCAUGUGAGGCAAUAGAAAGAUUUAUCAAGGUCAAA
rnacentral:lncRNA from 1 species